GACGAACGCUGGCGGCGUGCCUAAUACAUGCAAGUAGAACGCUGAAGAGAGGAGCUUCCUCUUCUUGGAUGAGUUGCGAACGGGUGAGUAACGCGUAGGUAACCUGCCUUGUAGCGGGGGAUAACUAUUGGAAACGAUAGCUAAUACCGCAUAACAAUGGAUGACACAUGUCAUUUAUUUGAAAGGGGCAAUUGCUCCACUACAAGAUGGACCUGCGUUGUAUUAGCUAGUAGGUGAGGUAAUGGCUCACCUAGGCGACGAUACAUAGCCGACCUGAGAGGGUGAUCGGCCACACUGGGACUGAGACACGGCCCAGACUCCUACGGGAGGCAGCAGUAGGGAAGCUUCGGCAAUGGGGGCAACCCUGACCGAGCAACGCCGCGUGAGUGAAGAAGGUUUUCGGAUCGUAAAGCUCUGUUGUAAGUCAAGAACGGGUGUGAGAGUGGAAAGUUCACACUGUGACGGUAGCUUACCAGAAAGGGACGGCUAACUACGUG
rnacentral:rRNA from 1 species